UUCAUUUAGUUUAAGGAAAUUUAUUUGGAGUAAUUAAGUAACUAAAUAUUAUCUUAGUAACAGUAUAGUAACCAAGUAUGUUACUAUACUUGGUUAGUUGUGUGCUUAACAUUGUGUGCUCUUGCUCUAAACUACUGCUUCUUAUUAUAAAUCUCUUCUGAAACAGGAAGGUGAAGCUGAAUGCAAGGCUGAAGAAGAGAUAAAAAACAGCACUGUUUCUGAAGAUUACCUUAAAAAGAUUGAAGAUUUCAAGGAAGUUUCCAUAUCACUAGACUUGGUUCAUGAAACAAGUGAAUUAUCAGUUUAUAUUGAUAGGCGAGACCUUGAUGAAUUAAUUUCUGGUGUUAAAUGGAUCUCCACAUCUAUCUUGUCUCUAUGGUGCUCAUAUCUACAUGGCAUUUGUAUCUCUAAGAAUGUCAGUGAACUAUUUGGAUUUCUUGAUCCAAAUAGGACACUAAUUACCACUAGAGAUCCCAAUGCUAUUAAAUCUUACAUACAAGAUAGGUUGGAUGGCGAGUCAAAAAAAUGUUACUUAGGACCAUUGUUAAAUAACAAUCACUGGCAAUUGUAUGUUAUUUGUCCCCAAGAUAAUGAUAUCUUUUGGUUUUGUUCAUUAAACACAAAACCCAAGAAACGUAUUAAGAACAUACUUGAGGGAGCUGUAACAGGAUAUCAGUUAUUAAGAGGUUUUGAGAAUAAAAAGCCUAAUUGGAAGAUUGUCAAGG